AGAGUUUGAUCAUGGCUCAGAUUGAACGCUGGCGGAAUGCUUUACACAUGCAAGUCGAGCGGCAGCACGGGGGCAACCCUGGUGGCGAGCGGCGAACGGGUGAGUAAUACAUCGGAACAUGCCCAGUCGUGGGGGAUAACACUUCGAAAGAAGUGCUAAUACCGCAUACGUCCUGAGGGAGAAAGCGGGGGAUCGCAAGACCUCGCGCGAUUGGAGUGGCCGAUGUCAGAUUAGCUAGUUGGUGGGGUAAAGGCCUACCAAGGCAGCGAUCUGUAGCUGGUCUGAGAGGAUGAUCAGCCACACUGGGACUGAGACACGGCCCAGACUCCUACGGGAGGCAGCAGUGGGGAAUUUUGGACAAUGGGGGCAACCCUGAUCCAGCCAUUCCGCGUGAGUGAAGAAGGCCUUCGGGUCGUAAAGCUCUUUCGGCAGGAACGAAACGGUGAGCUCUAACAUAGCUUGCUAAUGACGGUACCUGAAGAAGAAGCACCGGCUAACUACGUGCCAGCAGCCGCGGUAAUACGUAGGGUGCGAGCGUUAAUCGGAAUUACUGGGCGUAAAGCGUGCGCAGGCGGUUGUGUAAGACAGGUGUGAAAUCCCCGGGCUUAACCUGGGAACUGCGCUUGUGACUGCACAGCUAGAGUAUGGCAGAGGGGGGUGGAAUUCCACGUGUAGCAGUGAAAUGCGUAGAGAUGUGGAGGAACACCGAUGGCGAAGGCAGCCCC
rnacentral:rRNA from 1 species